rnacentral:rRNA from 1 species
UACGUAGGGUGCAAGCGUUAUCCGGAAUUAUUGGGCGUAAAGAGCUCGUAGGCGGCUUGUUGCGUCUGCUGUGAAAUCCCGGGGCUUAACCCCGGGCGUGCAGUGGAUACGGGCAGGCUGGAGGCAGGCAGGGGAGAAUGGAAUUCCCGGUGUAGCGGUGAAAUGCGCAGAUAUCGGGAGGAACACCGGUGGCGAAGGCGGUUCUCUGGGCCUGUUCUGACGCUGAGGAGCGAAAGCGUGGGGAGCGAACAGG